AGUUCUUUCUUACACAUGGUCUUGGCAUAUGUUUGGCACAGACAUUGUGGAACCGAAGGGCUUGUUCUUUUGCUGCACUGUUCUAUCUAUAAUAAUACAGGGAAUGAGAAAAAUAGAGAAUCUGUUUAAUCAAUAUACUGACAUGCAACUUACUUUUUUGGCUGGAUAAAAUAGAUGGGAAUUAUGAAGCGACAGAUGGGAUGAUUCAUUUAUGUAGAAGAUUAUUUGGUGUUUUCAUCAGCUAGUGUGUUCUGCACAGUACUCCAAAUAUGUUUUGCAAUGGAACCUUAAUGCAAGAACUUUAGUGUCUGGAGAUUGGCACGGAAGUAGCAUGUUUGGAUUUAGUUCUUCUACACCAUUGUUAAGGCCACUCGUGGUUCAGGAGACAAUUAUGGAUAAAACUUUCAUAAGGGUGAGGUCACCCAUCAUUCCACCAGCAUUCCUCCUCAACCAAUGCCACAAAAAUAUAUUGCCUUCUACUGAUUGUGAGUUAUUGUUACAUGAACACUGGAUGCUGCAUUUUUCCAGAUAUCUGAACGAUAGCUAUUCAUGGCAUGUAAAACACUUUGAAAACUGUGUGAAUGUGAUAGAUUGAGUGAAAAAUUAUCUAAUGAAGCAUUAAUCCUACAUUCCCCUUUCUGCAGAUGCUGCCUAAUCAACGAGUGUUUCAGACACCACUUUUAUUUCAGUUUUUAUUUAGGCUGCCCUGUUAAGAAAUACUGGAGGUCAAAUGCCAAGUAUUGUAAUAUACAAUUCAGUCAAAUAUAAAUAGUUGUGGGAAUUGGUUAAAUAUAUACUGUUAUUAAUUUUUCAAGGAGCAUUUUAUUGUGUUUUGGCUGAAUUGAAAUGAAUUGAUUUAUUUGUCCACUUUCCUAUGCUUGUUCUCACUUUAAAAUGCUCCUUAAACCUGCUUCUUUAACCAAGAUUUUGUUACCUAACCCACCCCUGGGAAUGCCUACUUUUGCAGAAGAUGCUGUUAAAACAGUUGAGCAAUCUAAACACACUGUUUAAACAGGUUACUUACUGCGCACAUCUUGUACAUCUUGGUUUCAUUAGGAGAACCCAGAUGGUCAGUGCCGAUUUAAUGGGCUAAAGGGCUAUUGGUGUGGCUUUAUGGCUCUAUGGCUAACUUUGUUCUGUGAGAUUUUGAAAAUCUAGGCGCAUCAUCACCGUAAAGAAGAAUUGGACUAUUCAAUUUCAACUUGUUCUAAUAUAUGGUACAACUAUGAGAGUAACCUUUUAUAUUUGCAUUGGGUCGUAGUUUAAAGAUUAAUGGUAUAUCAACAAAUCGGUGCUGAAAUAGCCUACUGGCUGACUCUGGCCCAGGAUAUAUAAAUAUAAACGCAAAGCUGAAGGAGCUGCAAUAAGUUCACAGUAAAUGUCCAUGACAUCAUGGAUGCAGCUUAGAAAGAUAACACCUGAAAGAGCUACAGGUCACUUGGUUAAAAAAGCAUGCUUAUGUUCAGGGUAUCAUAGUCACUGUAAUGUAGCUGAGUGGCAAGUGGGCAUUGCUGAACCUGGGCAUAGACUACAUUGGGGAAACUGCUUGAUUGGAUCGAGAUGCACUCAGGCGAUGGUGGCAGUAUUUUGUUUCUCAUUUAACUUUCUUCCACGUGCCAUUUGUAACCAUUUGCUGCCUAUCUUGUUUAACCUUUAUUUAUUAUUUAUGUAGUGACUAAGCUAGGCUUGCCCUUCGGAAAGAAAUUUGAUGGCAAUGAACAAAGGCAGUAUUUCAUGUUGGGGGUGAUGAAGAUUGAGGCGGCUUAAUAAUCUUAAAAAUUAAAGCUAGCCUGUUCAGGAGGGAAACUGCUGAGCAGCACAUUUCCACAAAAAAGUUCCCCAGACUUUGGAUUCUUAGUACUUAGGGAACAGUACUUUCAAGGCUGAGCAAUAAUUUUUGUGAUAGGUAAGCAAUAGGAAAUGGAAGCAAGAGUGUGCCUUUCACUCUCUUGUCUGCUGUUCAAUAAAAGUUUGGAUGGUCCUUUACAGUAGUCGCAUUGUAAUGCUUAACAUUUUAAGUUGGUCAAUAGUUUUAAAUAAACAUGGUAAGAGCGUCUCCACAACCCUCUUAGAAAGGGAUAUGGAAAGAUUCAAUCCCUCUGACUGAAGGAAUUUCCUCAUUUUAAUCCCGAAGACCUCAUCCAGAGGAAAUGUCAUUUGCACAUCUACCCAGUCAAGCCCUCUGAAUGUUUGCACAUUUUGGUGAGAUCUUCUGUUGUACUUUUAAAUGUAUAAAUAUUUUACAGUCUGCCUUAUUUCUUAUAUGAUACAUCUUUGCAUCUUCCCAGAAAGCCAUCAAGUGAACAUUUGCUAAACUGCCACCAUGUAUCUUUGGGCAGAGGCACCAGCUUUGUAAACAAUAUUUCAGAUGCUGUUCACUAAGACUCUUUAAUUGGAGCACGAUGUAUGUAUACUUGUUCACAAUCCAUGUGUAAUUGAGGUCAACAUACUAUUUGCCUUCCUAAUUACUACUCGUAGCUGCAUGUUAGCCUUCACCGAUUCAUAUACACAUUAUAAUCCAUCUCCCACAUGCUUACCAUGCAUUUGGCCUAUUUGUUCAUGUGCAACCCCUGUGCACCUUCCUCACAGCUUUUGUAUCAGUGGCAAAUUUGGAUGUAUUGGAUUGAACCCUGUGGCACUCUUCUAGUCAUAGCCUCCUAGCCCAAAAAUGACAAAUUCCUACUCUGUUCUAUGUGUAAACCAAUUCUGAAUCCAUGUGGUAUUUCCCUGCACUAUGUGCUGUUGUGUGUAAUAAUCUCUGGUGUUGUACUUUAUGGAUGACCCUUUGAAAUCCUAAAGCAGUUGAACUAAUGUGCGAUGUGGAUCAACUGUUAACAAAUUGAAUAGGCAUUUGAUCCCAGUGAACCUGCACCUGGAAUGUACAAGUCUGAUCUCCCUAAAGGAUUUUCUUGCAAUAUAAAGUUUUCAUGUGAAUUGAUACACUUUCCUGGUAUAGAUGGCAGACUGCAUUUAAGACCAUCAACAACAA